AACCAUAUUGCUUACUUAACACCUGCAGUGAUUCACUUAACAACUGUGACAAGAAAGGUUAUAAAACAGGGCAAAAUUUAACAACUGUCUUGCUUAGCAACAGAAAUUUUGGAUUCAAUUGUGAGUGUAAGUUGGUGACUAUCUGUAAAACAUGAACAUGAACACAACAACAAAGCUACAUUCAUAUAGGAGCUUUGAAUUUACCUAAUUCAAAAAACCUCUUUUAAUGCUAAAAUUGCCUAUUUGGAAAUAAUGGAUUUAAAAUGCUAUCCAAAGUCAAGGUCCUUGAGAUCAUGGCCCUCAGAAGUUUCCAGUCUUGGUGUGAAAAGCAUUUGCAAGCCGACAAGACUUUGGGGCUGAAAAAUUGCAUUGCUUCAAGUCUCCCAUCAGCUUGCAAAUGCUUUUUGCACUGAGACCACAAGCAGGCAAAGAAACUGAGGCAGAGAGGCUGGAGAGGAGAUAGGCCACUAGAUCUUCACAAGGUAGGUGAUCUGGCACGGCAGGAUGCAGGGGAACAAUUGUGGGAACCCCAGGGGUGGGAGCAUGAUAUAUCUCAGUUGGGUCGGAGGUGGCCUUGGGUGGUCUGAAGCAGAUGGCUGUUCCAUUACUAGGUCCCCCAUAGUCUUCCUCACCCUGAAAUACCUCAUGUGCACUUAAUGACCUGCACAUUUGAUUAGUGAAUGCAUGGUCAAAAGCAGGGAGUGAUUGUGUUCAUUUUAUGUGAUUCAUUCCAUCCUCAGGCUAUGAAUGGAAUUGGAAAGGUCCAUUACAUUUGCAACUGGAGGACUCUCUGUAGUAUUAUUUAAACUAAGAGAUCCUAGAAUAUUUAUAUUGGCAUGUGUUCAGUGAGAAAAUACAAUUUUAUAUUUUAUAUCAGACCUUUUAAAUCUUACAUUGAAUAAACAUUUGGGAUUUUUGUCCUCAAACUAAGUAUAAGUUUUGUCUCCAAAUCAAAUUGGACAAACUGUCAUGACCACAGAAUUGUUUUGAGAAAUGUUAACCACUUUUUGAUUUUAUAAUAGAAUAAUUUAAAAUGCAGAUACAUUGUAAUCUUUUUUGUAUACAAAAUCUAAGAAUUUUACUUUCCUGAAUGAAUUGACACAACCAUUUGCAUUUUGUUGCAUAACUUUAAAACUUUGUGUUUGGUAAAUUAUAAUUUAUUUUUUUAAGCUGGAGUAUUAAAUAGUAUAUUUGCUGUUAAGACUGUCAAUUAUGUUUUUAAAAGAUCUGUUAAUGUGUAAAAAAAAUUAUACCUUUCUAAAAUUUAUCUUGCAAGUCUGCCCAAGAUAAAUUGUAUUUCAUGUUCUCCAUUUAUUUCCACAUAAAUAAAUAAAAUAGAAUUU